AGUGAACGCUGGCGGUAGGCCUAACACAUGCAAGUCGAACGGCAGCACAGGAGAGCUUGCUCUCUGGGUGGCGAGUGGCGGACGGGUGAGGAAUACAUCGGAAUCUACUCUGUCGUGGGGGAUAACGUAGGGAAACUUACGCUAAUACCGCAUACGACCUACGGGUGAAAGCAGGGGACCUUCGGGCCUUGCGCGAUUGAAUGAGCCGAUGUCGGAUUAGCUAGUUGGCGGGGUAAAGGCCCACCAAGGCGACGAUCCGUAGCUGGUCUGAGAGGGUGAUGAGCCACACUGGAACUGAGACACGGUCCAGACUCCGACGGGAGGCAGCAGUGGGGAAUAUUGGACAAUGGGCGCAAGCCUGAUCCAGCCACACCGCGUGGGUGAAGAAGGCCUUCGGGUUGUAAAGCCCUUUUGUUGGGAAAGAAAUCCAGCUGGCUAAUACCCGGUUGGGAUGACGGUACCCAAAGAAUAAGCACCGGCUAACUUCGUGCCAGCAGCCGCGGUAA
rnacentral:rRNA from 1 species